CUGGGAUUACAGGUGCCCACCACCACACCUGGCUAAUUUUUUGUGUUUUAGUAGAGAUGGGGUUUCACCACAUUGGCCAGGCUGGUCUCAAACUCCUGACCUCAAGUGAUCUGCACACUUCAGCCUCCCAAAGUGCUGUGAUUACAGCCACCGCGCCCAGCCCAGUAGAACCUUCUUAUCUCCCUCUCCUUACAUUUGCUUAGAGGGAUGAGAGCCUCCUUGCUUGGGGAGGGGAAAGCUAUUGGGGAGGGACAUUACUGGCCUUUUGUCUCCACCUCCCCAGUGGCUGCUCUGGUUGGGUGGACUGAGGGUUCCCUCCUGCAAGUUCCUGCUGAGUGUGGCUGUCCUCAGGAAACCAAGUCCCCUCUGCGGCCCUACGUGAAGAGAUCAGGAGUUACUCAAAUCCCAGCCAUCGGAAGGAAUCUUAAGCCACAUAUGAUUUCAGAGAAAGUUUCUGCUUUAUAGGGCAAAGGGGUGCCUAGGACUGAGCCUUGUAUGUGCUAAAUGCCUUGUACUAUUGAAAUGAACGAAUAAAGAGGUUUGUGGACAGCAAGCUAUAGUUCAAACUCACAUAUCCUGAGAAAGACAAGUAAUGGAUUUUCCAUUUUCAUCUAUCAGAUGGGCAAAGACCAAAAAGUUUAGUAAUCCACUGUGUUGGAGAGGGUGUGAGAAAAUACACUACCUCAUACAUUGCUGGUAGGAGUGUAUUUUGUUUAAAAUAAUCCAUGUAGGGCAAUUUGGGAGCAUCUAUUUAAAAAUACAUAUGCACAUGGCCUUUGACCCAGCACUUCCGUUUCUAGGAAUUUAUAUUAUGGAUAUACUAGCAUAUGCAAAAUGACAUUAUGUACAAGGGUAUUUAUCAUCAUAUCAUUUAUAAUAGGGCAAAGUUAGGAAUAUUCUAAUUGUCCAACAAUUAGGGAACUUGUUAAAUAAAUGCUGCUGCAUCUUAAUGAAUUUUUUUAGCUAUACAAAAAAAACGAGGACGCUUCUUACAUGCCAACGUGAAGUGAUUUCCAAGAUGCUGAUAAAUGAAAGCAAUCAAAGUGGACAAUAUUGAGUAUGUAAUGCUAGCAUUUAAAAAAGGAGAGAGCAAAAAUGCAUUUGCUUGUAAUGCUUUUAUCUGAAAAUAUAUAAUUGAAACUGAUAACAUUGUUUGCCUCUGGGAAAGAGAACCAGAUGGUUGGAGGGACAAGGUUAGGUGGGAGACUUUGAUAAACAGUAUUUGUACCUUUUGAAUUUUAAACAGCGUAAAUGUUAUUAAAGUUAUAUACUCACAACAAACAAAUGUAUACACUUUGAUUUUUCUUUUCGUUUAUGUGUUUGUUUUAGCAAUGGUGGUUUUGAUAUAUUACCCAGGCUGGAGUACGGUGGCUAUACACAGGCGUGAUCAUCGUGCAUCACAGCCUCAAACUCCUGGGCUCAAGUAUCC
rnacentral:lncRNA from 1 species